UUUGUUUCCUCAUUUUCAACAUCGCAUUAGGGUUUCUGCAUAUUCUCUCUCUUCUCCGCCGCUUCUCAAGAUCUUCAAAAUAAUCUUCGAAUCUCAAUUGACUGAUAUGAUAAGGUGUUCUUAUGUGUAGUUUGUAGACCCGACAUACGAUUUGUGAUGGUUGAUCUUGAUUUUUUUCCGGUUUUGAUUUGUGAAUCGUUUGAUAUUAUCACCCGGACUGUUUCUUCUCAUCAUUCUCAUUGGAUUCCUAAUUCAUAUCCCUACAACAUCGUCAAUACAUCAGGGUUUUGAAUAAUCUGGUAUCUCCCAAACUUUUUCAGGAUUGCAUUGAGACACUCGACAUCGGCAAAACAGCCACUGCCAAAUCGAAAGGUCAUAACUUUAUCUUAUUCGUAAACGACAACCCCCGUAUGAUUUUUGUCUGAGACUAGGCCCCCAACAGGUGGGAAACGUAUAUGUUCAGUUUCGGGAGGAAGAAUAUGCAGCAAAAGCACUGAAGAACCUUAGUGGAAGAUAUUAUGCUGGUAUACUUGAUGAUCAUCAAGUGAACAUUGGCUCUAAGUGAUGAGGAUCAGGAUGGAAGUUAUGAUGAGUAUGUGUCUGAUGAGAGAUACAGAUCAAUGCUUGGUCAGCAUGUUCAUAAGUACAAAAGAAGGCACAAAUAUAAUAAAUUGUCGGCUUCUGCUUCCACACGAAAUGGUAUGUUUGGCAGCAAGGGUGGUAUUGGAUCAAAGGAUCAUAAAUUCGGGAAUGGUCGUCAAGGAGUACAAAAUAUUGAAACGGUUCCUCAAUACGUAGGGCAUUACAAAGAGGCAGAUUUUUCUUCGGAUUAUGGCUUGGAUAGAUCAGUUUAUGAACCUGCUUAUCUAGAUAUUGGGGAUGGUGUCAGUUACAAGACUGCAGAGAGCUUAUGAAAUGCUAGCUGCCUCAUUAAACUUACCUAAACCAUCGGAUAUGCGAGUGGAGGAGUUUUACUUUACGAGCACCCUUUAUUUGGGCCCAUUAGCUUCAAUGAUGUCUGCUGACAAAAGGUUUGGGCCUAUAAGAGGAUCAGGAAUGGGUGAGCCCAAACCACAAUAUGAAUCACUUUGGGCAAGAUUAAGUUCACAAACAUCAAAUAACUCUGCACAAAAGUUCGGUCUUAAAGUCAGUGAUGCCGCAUUGGAUUCAUAUUCUGCGCCUGAGGGUGCAACUGGUGGUUUUAGACGGUUUAUCAUGUCAGAAAGUGGAGUGCUGCAGGUGCACUAUGUGAAGGUGUUGGAGAAAGGUGACACUUCGAAUUGUUCCGCUUUACUUUGGAAUAAAUUACAAACAGAAAAUAUAACAAGUGUUGCCGCAUAAGCCUCCCAAGGUUUCUUUUUUGUUUUCAAGUUAUUUAAUGUGAGUCUUAUGUGAUUUGUUUUAAUUUCAAGUUUCGAAUAUGAGAUUUUGACUUUCUGGACUUUGGAGACCGUUAUUUUUCCGGUUAAAUCUUUUUGCAGACCCGAUUCCUUUUAUAUAAGUUAUUGAAGUAUAGAUUGAAGCAUGUUUGAUUACUAUUUACUAAGAUCCACACUUCCACUAUAUUUUUAUAUUUAAAUUGCCACCCUAAAGCUUUUGAAACCUAAUUCUUGCUCUUUAUUUCCUAAUUAAAUAUUGUUUAUGGUUGGAUGUGCAGAUUUAUUGUUGAUUUUGUAAUAUUUCUUUAGAUUCUAAUUGUUACAAUUCUAGAUAACAAUGGUUAUCCAAUAUUACGGUUGUUGAUUCGCAUUUCGCAAGGUUUAGGGUUUCGUGUUAACCGGGUGCUCUCUAACCCUAACAUUGAUCGGCCUUUCGUCAACAUUAAAGUGGUCACAAUGAAUACGCGUUGAAGGUGACAGAUGGAUCGAUUGUCAUUUGCUUUGUCCUGGUGUUGAGUCUUAGAAGCUAAAAUUAAGGCAAAGGUUCAGCACUUGGUUUUGGUCGGUGCUAUGCGAGCUCAGGUUUUGGUGAACAUGAUGCAGUAGAAAAGGUUUAAGACGAUACGGACAAUUAUGACGACUUUACGGUUAAUAUAUAGUGUUUCUAUGCUGAAAUUGAUUGAACUUGGAGUAUUUGAUUGAUGAAAUUAGGGUUUUUUAUUUGUUUUAGCUGGAUUGUAUUUUAUGGUGAAAUUGAUUGAAGUGGGAUUAUUUGAUUGAUGAAUGUUGUUUAAAUUGCAGAAGAUGGCAUCCUAUUUCCUUGAAAAUGCUACAAGAAUGUUUAAAAGCUGCUUUGUAUAGUAAGAAGCAAUUGUGGCUGCAAUUUAAUGGAGAUGUUACACAAUGAACCGAACUAAUUCAAUGGGAGUUGAUAACAGCUUAAGGCUGGAUGAAUCUAGGAAAAAAUUCAACGUCAAAGUAGUGUUGAUGCGCCGAGGAGAUCUCCGGUUUUGUAGGUGUAAGGCCAACUAAUGUCUGUAGGUGUGUUGAAGUAAAAAACGACUAUUUAGGGUUUGUUGAUUUGAAUUGUAAUUGAAGAAUUUCAUCUUCCAAGUCAUAUAGUUGAAAAUGACGUCAAUUCAAGUUCCACGUCAAUUUUAA